rnacentral:rRNA from 1 species
CGAGUUUGAUCCUGGCUCAGAUUGAACGCUGGCGGCAUGCCUUACACAUGCAAGUCGAACGGCAGCACGGGAGCAAUCCUGGUGGCGAGUGGCGAACGGGUGAGUAAUAUAUCGGAACGUGCCCAGUCGUGGGGGAUAACGUAGAGAAAUUUACGCUAAUACCGCAUACGAUCUAAGGAUGAAAGCGGGGGACCGUAAGGCCUCGCGCGAUUGGAGCGGCUGAUAUCAGAUUAGGUUGUUGGUGAGGUAAAAGCUCACCAAGUCGACGAUCUGUAGCUGGUUUGAGAGAACGACCAGCCACACUGGGACUGAGACACGGCCCAGACUCCUACGGGAGGCAGCAGUGGGGAAUUUUGGACAAUGGGCGAAAGCCUGAUCCAGCAAUGCCGCGUGCAGGAAGAAGGCCUUCGGGUUGUAAACUGCUUUUGUACGGAACGAAAAGGUCUGCCCUAAUACGGCGGGCCCAUGACGGUACCGUAAGAAUAAGCACCGGCUAACUACGUG